UGGGGAAUAUUGGACAAUGGGCGAAAGCCUGAUCCAGCCAUGCCGCGUGUGUGAAGAAGGUCUUAGGAUCGUAAAGCACUUUAAGUUGGGAGGAAGGGCAGUAAAUUAAUACUUUGCUGUUUUGACGUUACCGACAGAAUAAGCACCGGCUAACUCUGUGCCAGCAGCCGCGGUAAUACAGAGGGUGCAAGCGUUAAUCGGAAUUACUGGGCGUAAAGCGCGCGUAGGUGGUUCGUUAAGUUGGAUGUGAAAUCCCCGGGCUCAACCUGGGAACUGCAUUCAAAACUGUCGAGCUAGAGUAUGGUAGAGGGUGGUGGAAUUUCCUGUGUAGCGGUGAAAUGCGUAGAUAUAGGAAGGAACACCAGUGGCGAAGGCGACCACCUGGACUGAUACUGACACUGAGGUGCGAAAGCGUGGGGAGCAAACAGGAUUAGAUACCCCCGUAGUCCCUGAGCGGGCUGGCAAGGCGCAU
rnacentral:rRNA from 1 species